UUUAUCUAUUACAACAAAAAGACUGGAACCGGCCCGAAAUCUCAGAACCUAAAACCCCAACAAAGCCCUUUUAGCAUUUCACCGGUAGGAACACAUCUCUCUCAGAGUUUUCCCCGAUCCGAAAAUGGCCACUUUCGCCGCCAGGUCCGUCCUCCGCUCUGCCACUUCCUCCGCCAGAACCGCUUCCACGAGAUUCGCCGCCGGUGCCAAGCCCAAGGCCGCUCCUUCUCCCUUUCGCAUGCCCACUCAAAAACCCCUUGCUGCUCGCAUUUUCAGGUCGCCUGUUGAAAUGAGUUGUGCAGUGGAAACUAUGCUUCCUUAUCACACUGCCACUGCUACUGCGUUGCUGACUUCAAUGCUCUCUGCUACUCCUCGGAGUUAUGGUUGGACUCUUGAAGGGCAAAAGAGGACUAGAUGAAGAUCAUGAAAUGAAGUUCAAGUUAUACGAAUAUCUUCUUAUGCCGGAGUUUUAAGUAACUUAUUUGUGAAUCAUGCAGCUGGUAUUGAUUGUUGAUGAGUUAAUUUCAUAAUAAGCUUCAAGAAAACUGAAUCAGAUAGUCUGUGGGACCAAAAGUUGCUUAGAUAUGAAUUUUGAAUUUCCAGUUGUAGUUGUUAAGUUGUCAGCAUCAUUCUAAUACUUGGUGUUUAAUCAGAUUGCAAUGAUGAUGUAUGAUGAAUGUCAGAGAGUUCAAGCGAAGUUUUAUAUCCAUGCAGUCUAAGCAAAUGAUAAGUAGAGUACUGAAUGAGAACUUGGGACUCUUAGCUUUCUGUGAAUUCUGGCUUCUUUUGGACUGUAUUUUGGUAUCUAGACGUUGGAGUCCUGUGGAAGCUCAUUGUUAUUAGAUUUUGAGAGAUGUUUAAAGCCUUAAUUUGUCUCAAAAAUGUUUUUAUACAGGCCUUAAUAAUGUCAUCUUUAACCUCUGGUGUUUUAUUGACCA